UGCCAGACUCCUACGGGAGGCAGCAGUGGGGAAUAUUGCACAAUGGGGGAAACCCUGAUGCAGCGACGCCGCGUGAGCGAUGAAGUAUUUCGGUAUGUAAAGCUCUAUCAGCAGGGAAGAAGAUGACGGUACCUGACUAAGAAGCCCCGGCUAACUACGUGCCAGCAGCCGCGGUAAUACGUAGGGGGCAAGCGUUAUCCGGAUUUACUGGGUGUAAAGGGAGCGUAGACGGCGAUGCAAGCCAGAUGUGAAAGCCCGGGGCUCAACCCCGGGACUGCAUUUGGAACUGUGUGGCUGGAGUGUCGGAGAGGCAGGCGGAAUUCCUAGUGUAGCGGUGAAAUGCGUAGAUAUUAGGAGGAACACCAGUGGCGAAGGCGGCCUGCUGGACGAUGACUGACGUUGAGGCUCGAAAGCGUGGGGAGCAAACAGGAUUAGAUACCCCGGUAU
rnacentral:rRNA from 1 species